AUCUAAAAUCCACAUUCUUGUCGGUUUCUACCUUUCUGUCAGAGAGAGGGAUUUUGCUAGGGCUAAGGGGAGACUGAGAGGGACCUGGUGCAGACGCUGAAGCUGGAAUGGGAGCAGAGGAGAUCUGAGAAGCUUGUCUUUUUCUGCGGACGCCUUCUUCCAAUGCACGGACUGAUUUUCUUCUUUGAGGGAGUUUCAUCUUUGGUGCCAUUCUCAUCACAAGAGCAAGCAGG
rnacentral:lncRNA from 1 species